rnacentral:antisense_RNA from 1 species
GAGCAAACUCUGGUGAGCCUAGACUGCUCAUUCCAUUGAUUUAUUGUUUGUUCUGUACUUUGAAAUGAAUGCGUCAUUUUUGAGUGCAUUUUCAUUAACUGGCUUGCAAUCUUUGAAUCGAAUGACGCUACAGAAACUUCCAAAUUUCGAUUCGCAGAAAACCCGUCCCAGUUAAAACUUCCAAAAGAUGACCAUAUCCCAUCUAUUGUAAUGUAUUUAGCGUGACAGUGAAUAUUUCUUGUAAAAAAAAAUCUUACAUUGUUUUGAAUAAACCUUUUGAUUAAAUACUUUGUUGCAAUUGUAUCUCCUGGAAUAUCGGAUCUACCUGAUAACAACAUCGAAACUUUUACAUUAUUAUUAAUUGCAGUUUGAAUGGCUCUACGUAGAAAACUUGGAGGAAAAAAAUAAGAAGUUGUGAGAUAAAUAUAACUAUUUGAAUUUUUUGUUGCAAUAUUUAAAACAUUUUGAAUUCCUCUAUGCUGCCUUCUUGUAUUACUGUAUAGUACCUGUAAUAUAGUGCCAUUCUUGAUUUCCUUCGGUCUCUGGAAUAUUAUUGGAAUUUGUCCACAUUUAGAUUCUUUGAGUGAGUCGAUAAAAACUUUUCCGAGAUCGUAAGUUGCAGGGCCUUCUAUCUCCGCGUGUACAUCGUAGAAACAAAGCUUAUUAACCUUUAUUGGUGAAAUUGAAUAAAUUACUUGUUUAAAUAAAAAAAUUAGUUUUUUAUACGCCGAG